GACAGAGGUCUCAAGCGUUAGGCGGAAUCACUGGGCUUAAAGCGUGUGUAGGCGGAUCGUUAAGUGCUUUGUGAAAUCCCACAGCUCAACUGUGGAACUGCUUGGCAUACUGGCGGUCUUGAGCCAUCUAGGGGUCGCUGGAACAAACGGUGGAGCGGUGAAAUGCGUAGAUAUCGCUUGGAACGCCAACGGUGAAAACAGGUUGCUGGGGGUGUGCUGACGCUGAGACACGAAAGCCAGGGGAGCGAACGGG
rnacentral:rRNA from 1 species